CUCUCUCUCUCUCUCUCUCUCUCUCUCCACCAUCGCCGGCGGCGACGCAGCGUUCUCCGUUUACAUCUGUCAGGUGCCAGAAGCUGCGAUUUACUCGAAGAUGGGAGAAUCUGCAAAGCCAUAUCUAAUGUCCCUUUAUAAGAAACCAUAUCUGAGGCAGUUACUUUACAAUGGAUAUGCAUGGCAGAGAUUUCAGCAGCGGUGUGGAAAUGCAAGGCAUUCUUCAAGAUUUGGAUUUUUAAAAGGGCUUGUCCUGAUCUUUAUAGUUUGGGAACUAUGGACUGGGAGAAACUCGAGGAAAUUUGAUGGCAAGAGUUUCGUGUUGGAGGGAGUUAUUAGGAAAGCAAAUGGUUGGAUCUAAGGCUGCUCACCAAAUGCCGGGGGACUUAAGGCAAUCUUUUCUGGAGGAUGUGCUCUCCAUUGGGAUAAAAAAGGAUGUGGGCUGGAAGUACUCAGUGUUAAUUACUAGGUGGGAGAAAAUUUUAGUCAUGACUGGGUUAAGCUAAACGUUGACGGCUCAUCCAGGAGGAACCUGGGAAUGGAUGGUGGAGGUGGUGUGCGCAGGGACUAGGAUGGGAAAGUGAUCUUUCCUUUCCACUACUACUAUAGAAGGGUUUUGAACACUGGUAGAGGUGAAGGCAUUUCUUGAUGGAGUGAAGAUCUGUAAAAGUCUAGGACUCUCAAAUGUCAAAAUAGAGUCGGAUUCAAAGGGAGAAAAACUCGGUGGCCGAUUGUUUGGUCUGUAUGGGAAGCAUUGGCACAGAGGACAGAAUUUAUAGAAGGAGAAGCAAUCUCCUGCGGGAGGUAAGAGGGCAUUUAGCUUUGGAUUUUGCUGGGGUUCGAAAUGUGAGGCGGAGCUGACUUAUCAAGACCUGCGUCACAGAUUGGUGGGUGUCCCUGGGUGUUUUGGUUCUUUUUUACUUUCUUAAGGGCCUGGCCUCAAUUUCAGCAGCAUCAGCCGCACCAGUUACAGGCAAAUCUUCAACAUCCGUAUCAGCAGCAAACCCCCAACAUCACCUGCAGCAUCCCCAUCUUCGGCAGCAGCCUCAGCAGCAGCAACAGCUACUACAUCUGCAAAAAUUUCACAGUACAUCUUCAAUUCCAGCAUCUGUAGCAGCACAGGUUGGCAGCAGCAUUAGCGUCAGAUCAGCAUUUUCGGCAGUCUUACCUACAGCAACACCUUUAUUAGUAGCAGCAUCAGCAACAUCAGACCACCAUCUUUGCUCAUCAAAUGGUGCUAUGGGAGCUGAGUGAAGUUCAAAAGCUUGAAAAAUCAACUCAACUCGAUGUCUACUGGGUCAGGUCAACUCAAAGCCUCGGGUCUUUGGAGGUGUUGAUUCCCCUAGGGACACUCAGACUUCAGCAACAAGUCUAAAGUCACUUAGAGAUUCCCAUGCUCAUUUAAAUGAGCAGUCACUAUUGAAUAAAAGUAGAGAGAAAUUGUUGCCAGAAAAUGAUGCUCCUAGUGUUUUACCUGCUAGUAAGCCUCACCGGUCAAUGGGAGACAUUCUGUCUACAAUGGAUACAUGACUCUCUCUACCUGUGCAUAGACCUGAAUUAUGUUUGGAGAAGCCCACAAAUAAACUAAAUGGAUCCAAUCCAAGUGUCAAGCACAACCUUUUGGGGACGUAAUAGUGUGAGUUUUUUGUUGCCUCUCUCAUGCUUCAAUUUGUAACUAAGUAGAAGUCUUGAUAUGUUUGGAUGCAAUUAAAUGCUCUUGUGAGCUUCAAGACAACUGUUAUCUAAGCAGUUUGUAUUUUGUCUUUAUCUUUGACUUUCUCUAGAGUAGUUUGAUUUAUUUUAUACUCCUUGGUGAUGAAUUGGAAUCCGUGUUGUUUGUUCCUUUGCUUUUUGCUGUGCGAAACAAAUGCUAGUUCCCUUUGUGAUCAUAUGGAAUAUCAGGCUGUUUGCUUGGUUGUGAUUGGCCCAUACUAUUAUUUUGAAUUUAUUUCUUCCCUGGCCUCUCUCUGCUUUAUGUGAAAAAAGGCUGGUUUUGCAAGUGUUAACUUUCAAAUAUGAGUAAUUUGAUGGUUUCAAUCUUUAAUGUGGAAAAUUAGAUGUGGGGUUGCUGAUAUUUUAUAUUUGUUUCUGUAGGCGAGAAAGAAUCUGUCAAUGGAAUCAAUUGAUUCUUCGGGUCAAGAGGAUCAAGUUUCCCUGUGCUACCACCAUGUUAUGUAGCUUCUCAAUAUAUUUUUCAACAUCCAAAUUGCAGGACUGAAGGCAAUCCGCACAAAGAGACUGAAGAGAUUCAAACAUGGUUCUUGUGUUUGAGAUCCUGACGAUUCAUCAAGUGGGACUCCCAGGAAUGGUCCUGGCCUGGAAGUCAGGUUUCUCCACCCUUCGGAUUCACCACACAUGGAUGAAGAAAAGGAUGGUUAGGAUUGGGCCUAUGAAUACUUUGUUGAAGCAAUGGAAGGCUGCGGUUCAAAGGAAACGAAUGAGGCCGGCCGAAAGCACUCGUCCUGAAGAGUGCCAAGAAACACCUGCGAAUGCAUUAGCCUCUGGAGAAGUUUCUUGCAACCACUUUGUUUUCAUAUAGUCUUUAAGGAUUGGGUGGUAUGCAACAACAAAAAGAUUAAAAUGGUCCGAAACAGCCUGAGUUUUAGCCUGACUCUUCAUGCAGGCUAGGUGAACUGUCUGAAUGGCCUGGAUUGGAUAUACACUCCAGGUGGGCCCCAUAAUCAAAUUGGCGGUAGUUGUCCACUCUCAAAUUGUUCUGUGGUGUGGCCUGCCUGAGAUUUGGAUUGGGCACCUGAGGUCUCUAGGUUAUUUGUCUGAUGGAUACAUCAUGUGAGCUCCACUUGUUUGGUACUGCUGUAGCUUAUGGUGGUACCAUUCCCAACAGAGUGUUUCCUUGUAUUGCUCAUGUUAUUUCUAAUGAUUUGUACUUU